GACAGAGGAUGCAAGCGUUAUCCAAAAUGAUUGGGCGUAAAGCGUUCGUAAGUGGUUCUUCAAGUUUUUCUGUUAAAUACUAAAGCUCAACUUUAGUACCACAUAAAAAACUCAAGUUCUUGAGUAUGGUAGAGGCAACGAGAACUUCCGAUGUAGUGGUGAAAUGCGUAGAAAUCGGAAAGAACACCGAAAGCGAAGGCACGUUGCUAGGUCUUUACUGACACGUAGGAACGAAAGCUUGGGGAGCAAAUGGG
rnacentral:rRNA from 1 species